rnacentral:rRNA from 1 species
UACGUAGGCAGCAAGCGUUGUUCGGAGUUACUGGGCGUAAAGGGUGCGUAGGUGGCUCUAUAAGUAUGGUGUGAAAUCUCCCGGCUUAACUGGGAGGGUGCGCCGUAGACUGUGGGGCUCGAGUGCGGCAGAGGAGACUGGAAUUCCUGGUGUAGCAGUGAAAUGCGUAGAUAUCAGGAGGAAUACCGAUGGCGAAGGCAGGUCUCUGGGCUGACACUGACGCUCAUGCACGAAAGCGUGGGGAGCAAACAGG